GGUCCCGAAAAGGGACCGGUAACCCAGUUCCUCCAUGUCGUUGUUCAGUUGGUUUCGUAAGAUGUUGGGUUAAUUCCCCCAAGGAGCCCACCCCUUGCCAUUAGUUGCUUCAUUCAGUUGGGCACUCUAAUGAGACUGCCGGUGACAAACCGGAGGAAGGUGGGGAUGACGUCAAGUCCUCAUGGCCCUUAUGGGUAGGGCUUCACACGUAAUACAAUGGUCGGUACAGAGGGUUGCCAACCCGCGAGGGGGAGCCAAUCCCAGAAAGCCGAUCGUAGUCCGGAUUGGAGUCUGCAACUCGAGAGCAUGAAGUCGGAAUCGCUAGUAAUCGCGGAUCAGCAUGUCGCGGUGAAUACGUUCCCGGGUCUUGUACACACCGCCCGUCACACCAUGGGAGUGGGUUUCACCAGAAGUAGUUAGCCUAACCGCAAGGAGGGCGAUUACCACGGUGGGAUUCAUGACUGGGGUGAAGUCGUAACAAGGUAGCCGUAUCGGAACGG
rnacentral:rRNA from 1 species